rnacentral:rRNA from 1 species
AUGCAAGUCGAGCGGAAACGAGUUAUCUGAACCUUCGGGGGACGAUAACGGCGUCGAGCGGCGGACGGGUGAGUAAUGCCUAGGAAAUUGCCCUGAUGUGGGGGAUAACCAUUGGAAACGAUGGCUAAUACCGCAUAAUGCCUACGGGCCAAAGAGGGGGACCUUCGGGCCUCUCGCGUCAGGAUAUGCCUAGGUGGGAUUAGCUAGUUGGUGAGGUAAUGGCUCACCAAGGCGACGAUCCCUAGCUGGUCUGAGAGGAUGAUCAGCCACACUGGAACUGAGACACGGUCCAGACUCCUACGGGAGGCAGCAGUGGGGAAUAUUGCACAAUGGGCGCAAGCCUGAUGCAGCCAUGCCGCGUGUGUGAAGAAGGCCUUCGGGUUGUAAAGCACUUUCAGUCGUGAGGAAGGUGGUGUAGUUAAUAGCUGCAUUAUUUGACGUUAGCGACAGAAGAAGCACCGGCUAACUCCGUGCCAGCAGCCGCGGUAAUACGGAGGGUGCGAGCGUUAAUCGGAAUUACUGGGCGUAAAGCGCAUGCAGGUGGUUUGUUAAGUCAGAUGUGAAAGCCCGGGGCUCAACCUCGGAAUAGCAUUUGAAACUGGCAGACUAGAGUACUGUAGAGGGGGGUAGAAUUUCAGGUGUAGCGGUGAAAUGCGUAGAGAUCUGAAGGAAUACCGGUGGCGAAGGCGGCCCCCUGGACAGAUACUGACACUCAGAUGCGAAAGCGUGGGGAGCAAACAGGAUUAGAUACCCUGGUAGUCCACGCCGUAAACGAUGUCUACUUGGAGGUUGUGGCCUUGAGCCGUGGCUUUCGGAGCUACGCGUUAAGUAGACCGCCUGGGGAGUACGGUCGCAAGAUUAAAACUCAAAUGAAUUGACGGGGGCCCGCACAAGCGGUGGAGCAUGUGGUUUAAUUCGAUGCAACGCGAAGAACCUUACCUACUCUUGACAUCCAGAGAACUUUCCAGAGAUGGAUUGGUGCCUUCGGGAACUCUGAGACAGGUGCUGCAUGGCUGUCGUCAGCUCGUGUUGUGAAAUGUUGGGUUAAGUCCCGCAACGAGCGCAACCCUUAUCCUUGUUUGCCAGCGAGUAAUGUCGGGAACUCCAGGGAGACUGCCGGUGAUAAACCGGAGGAAGGUGGGGACGACGUCAAGUCAUCAUGGCCCUUACGAGUAGGGCUACACACGUCCUACAAUGGCGCAUACAGAGGGCAGCAAGCUAGCGAUAGUGAGCGAAUCCCAAAAAGUGCGUCGUAGUCCGGAUUGGAGUCUGCAACUCGACUCCAUGAAGUCGGAAUCGCUAGUAAUCGUGGAUCAGAAUGCCACGGUGAAUACGUUCCCGGGCCUUGUACACACCGCCCGUCACACCAUGGGAGUGGGCUGCAAAAGAAGUAGGUAGUUU